UCUCUAGUAGCUCAGUGGUAGAGCGCUUGGCUGUUAACCAAGACGCCGUUGGUUCAAAUCCAAUCUAGAGAG
rnacentral:tRNA from 1 species